rnacentral:lncRNA from 1 species
CCUCUGCCUGGUUACAGGACGCUGUUGAAAGAGGGGACAGAGGGCACUUUGUGGGACUUGGUCAAAAACCAGGAAAGUACAGUUGCCCGUUGGACAUGUGGUAAGACAGACAGACACUCAUCCCACCUGCCCCACUUAAUGCCUGUGGUCCAUCAGGACCGUCUGUCUGUCUUUACAGAGCAGGUCUGAGCUUGUAGCCUUUGCCUGUAUACCUAGAGGCCCUCAUGACUGUGUCCAGACACAAAGGCAUAAUGCAAGACCAGAUCAAGCUCUGCAAGUCGGAACUGGGCUGGGAACUCGGGGACCCUUUGGUUCUGACCUCCCCAACCUCUCCAUCGCAUACAAACUGAUCAACAGGACACGUAAUGGAAUGGACUGGCAUUUCCAGACUCUUAUCCCUGAGCCUGACAAAAUUGACCUCUUUGGUCGUAGAGUGUCUAUCCUCUUAGCCCCCAUUGCCAUGGCAACCCCAGGGCCGUCAAAACAACCAACGAAAUCCAAGUGCCUUUAGAGUUAUUAAAAGACAGGAGGGGUGCACUCCCGGCAGGGUUAGAGUUCACAGUGUCAGUACAUUAUUACAUUGGAGUUCCCCAGUCCCAACAACCUCCAUCCUCACAUGCUGUGUUCGACUGAAAUCCAAUUAAACAAGUUGAUUUAAUACAAAA